UAUGCGACAACCCGACCUGUUCAGAUGAAGGCCAUCUCCACAAAACAAUGAGGCACGGUUCCAAAAUAAAUUAAAAUUGUCAAUAAAACUAACAUUAUGGGAACUGAAGAUUGAGUGGAGCCAAGUAUUAACCUCCUGAGACCUGAGGAU